UUUGAGCAUUUUGACUUGGCUUUGUGUUCAUUGGAUGUUGUAUUUUCUUUUGGGUAGCGUCACGUGACUAGUACGAGUACGAGGAUCCUGACGAGAACGUUCCUCAGGAGCAAGAGUUCUAUCCCCUAGAAAACGUUCAAGGCAAGAUGAUCACCAACCUCAAUAACGUUUCUAAUUUUUUUAUGCUUAGAUGUCUCAUUUAUAUUGUUAUGCUUCACAGCAUACCACCUGAAUGUCAAUCUUCCCAAAAUUCCAUGAUAAUCCUCUAACCCCUCCACAUCCGAGCGAACAUUGUUUGGCUAAGUUAGCGCUUGCUCAACACUUCUUAUAGCGUGGUUAGCUACUGGUGCAGGG
rnacentral:lncRNA from 1 species